UCCUUUUUUGAAUAAAACUUGUUUAUAGAACAACAAAUCGUGAAAAAUUAAUCUGUCAAAAUAAAAUUAUAAGUUAAAUAAUUAAACAUAAGUGGCAAUAUCAUUCGUGACAAGAUUUUACCAAUACAGACGAUACCUAUCGAAAUUUUCGAGUCAGGCUGAGUCACUUUGUGAACUUCAUCGUAUUAAGAUAUCAUAUUAAGAUGGUGAAAUAAGACAAAACAUCGUUUCGGUACGAACGAUAAAUUUGUAACAAUUAAUUGAGCAAUUUUACUAAAGGAUAUGGAUUAUUACUUAACAUGGAUCGAAAGCAUCGAGAAAUAUUAGACUCGUGUUACGAAGAUAUUGUACCUAGAAUAAAUAUAAUCAAAUUAUGGCCAAAACUGUUUGAAAAUAAAGUUUUUAAUAGAGAUGACGUGAAUAUUUCGCGCUGGAUAAAAGACAUCACAAAUAAAACAACAGUACAUGAAAUAUAUUUGACGAUAAAAACACGAGGACCACUUGCAUUUGCUCGUUUUCUUGCAAGCCUAAGACAAAGUAACCAUGAAGAUUUAGCAGAUAUUUUGGAAGGAACAAGAACUCCAUUACCUAUUACUAACACGCCAAGUUAUGGUGAUCAUAAUGAAUGCACGAAAGAAAGCAAUGUAGAGGAAACUACUUUUAUUCCAACUGCAGAAGGGCCACAAGGCGACUUUUUUCGUAAUAUACAAGUAUUAGAGGAACCACUACAAAUUUUAGUACAGAAAGCUACAAAAUUCUUAGAUGGGCCUGAAUAUGAAAAUGUUCAAACAUAUCCAAUGCGUAGCAAACCCCGUGGACUGGUUUUAAUAAUAACAAAUAUUGAUUACAAACAUCCAGAUAAAGAAGAUAGAAAUUCGGCUAUAUAUGAUGAAUCAAACUUAAAACAACUUUUUAAACAAAUGGGUUUUGAAGUUUCUUCCUAUUGCAAUCUAACAGCACAGAAAAUGUUAGAGAGAAUUAAAGAAUUUUCUCAACGUAAAGAGUUACGCAAGGUUGAUUCUUGCUUUGUUAUAAUAAGUAGUCAUGGUAAUGUUAAUACACAGUAUGAAGUCACAGAAAUAGAAGGUGUAGAAGAGCAUAUGCAAGACAAAGUGCAAAAUCAAAAAACUGUUUUAUGUACUGAUAUUUUGAGUUAUUUCACUGCAGAAGCUUGUCCCAAUCUUGCAGGGAAACCAAAGAUUUUCAUUUUUCAAUUAUGUAGAGGAAAGAAAAAACAAAAAUCAGUAAAAGAACCUAGACAUACAACAGAUACAUCUAACUUUCAACAUUCCUCUGAUGAAACUACUAAUGUUAAAAGAAAUGGUAGGGAGACACUGAGAUGUUAUGAAGAUAUGUUACUUUCAUAUGCUACCCUCCCAGGAUAUGUUGCCUUCCGAGACAAAAUAACUGGUAGUUGGUUCAUACAAAUUUUGUGUGAAGUAUUUAUGAAAUAUGCUCAUAAAGCUCAUCUUCAGGAUUUAUUAAACAUGGUUGAUGAGAGAUUAAAAAUACAAAGGACUAAUGGAGGAGACUGUCAGACAUUAACGAUAACACUGAUUGGAUUCAAUAAACAUUGUUAUCUUAAUCCUGGUCUUUUUGAACAGAUAUGAUCUUAGAAACUUGCCAUUGAACAGAAUGCAUAAUCUAUAUAUAUAUAUAUAUUAUAUAUAUAUAUAUAUAUAUAUAUAGAUUAACAUUUUUUCAACAAAUUUUAUAUAUCGAGUGUACUUAUUUAUAUAUAAAUUUUAUAUAUUUGAAUAUGAAUUAAUAUUAAACUGGGCAAAUGUUACAUAUUGGAUGUAUUUGAAUCAUAUUACAUUUUUAUUAUAUUUUACAAAAUAUACCAAGAAAUGUGUAAACUUUUACGUUCUUCUCUUUCUUUUUUGCGUAUAGUCUAUCUACAUCGCACAAAAUUUUUUAGAAAUGAUAAAGUACUAUAGUCAUUGAUAUAGUAAUAAUAUACGUGACAAAGAAAAGAAUAAUGAUAUGAACAAAUGAAGCGUUUGUAAAAGGAAGAACAAUACAUUUCACAUUAAAGGGAGCAAUGAUAACGAUGA